rnacentral:rRNA from 1 species
AUUGAACGCUGGCGGCAUGCCUUACACAUGCAAGUCGAACGGCAGCAUGGAGAGCUUGCUCUCUGAUGGCGAGUGGCGAACGGGUGAGUAAUGCAUCGGAACGUACCGUGUAAUGGGGGAUAACGUAGCGAAAGUUACGCUAAUACCGCAUACGACCUGAGGGUGAAAGCAGGGGAUCGCAAGACCUUGCGUUGUACGAGCGGCCGAUGUCAGAUUAGCUAGUUGGUGAGGUAAAGGCUCACCAAGGCGACGAUCUGUAGCGGGUCUGAGAGGAUGAUCCGCCACACUGGGACUGAGACACGGCCCAGACUCCUACGGGAGGCAGCAGUGGGGAAUUUUGGACAAUGGGGGCAACCCUGAUCCAGCCAUGUCGCGUGAGUGAAGAAGGCCUUCGGGUUGUAAAGCUCUUUCGGCCGGGAAGAAAUCGCACAGGCUAAUACUCUGUGUGGAUGACGGUACCGGCAUAAGAAGCACCGGCUAACUACGUGCCAGCCGCCGCAGUAA